rnacentral:rRNA from 1 species
UACGUAGGUGGCAAGCGUUGUCCGGAAUUAUUGGGCGUAAAGCGCGCGCAGGCGGUCCUUUAAGUCUGAUGUGAAAGCCCACGGCUCAACCGUGGAGGGUCAUUGGAAACUGGGGGACUUGAGUACAGAAGAGGAAAGCGGAAUUCCACGUGUAGCGGUGAAAUGCGUAGAGAUGUGGAGGAACACCAGUGGCGAAGGCGGCUUUCUGGUCCGUAACUGACGCUGAGGCGCGAAAGCGUUGGGAGCAAACAGG